rnacentral:rRNA from 1 species
GACGAACGCUGGCGGCGUGCUUAACACAUGCAAGUCGAACGGAAAGGCCUGCUUUCCCUUGUGGAUUGCGGGUACUCGAGUGGCGAACGGGUGAGUAACACGUGAGUGAUCUGCCCCCAACUUGGGUAUAAGCCUGGGAAACUGGGUCUAAUUCCCGAUAGGACUGCAGGGUGGUGCCUGUGGUGGAAAACGAUUUUCUAGUGGUUGGGGAUGAGCUCGCGGCCUAUCAGCUUGUUGGUGGGGUAAUGGCCUACCAAGGCGGCGACGGGUAGCCGGCCUGAGAGGGUGGACGGCCACAUUGGGACUGAGUUACGGCCCAGACUCCUACGGGAGGCAGCAGUGGGGAAUAUUGCACAAUGGGCGGAAGCCUGAUGCAGCGACGCCGCGUGGGGGAUGACGGCCUUCGGGUUGUAAACUCCUUUCGACCGCGAGGAAGCCACCUGGUUGGAAGGGUGGUGACGGUAGUGGUAGAAGAAGCACCGGCUAACUACGUG